rnacentral:lncRNA from 1 species
GAUUGGCUCUGGAAGAUGAGGACCCUUGCCAAUAAGAGGGAUCCAAACAAAUUCUACUAGUUCCACAAAGAUAUGGGCAUGACACCAAGGAAUGCCACUAUGUUGCUAACCAAAGAAAAAAAAUAGGCAGGAUGGAUAAAUCCUAGAUAAGUAAGACCACAAUAGACCACUCAUCGAGUGAUCACUUCCAUCCAUGAAGGAGCUGUAACAAGAGAAAGCUCGUGAUUAGAAGAGACCUUAGUGGGAGGAUCAAUCUCCAGA